rnacentral:rRNA from 1 species
AGCGAACGCUGGCGGCAGGCCUAAUACAUGCAAGUCGAGCGCACCUUCGGGUGAGCGGCGGACGGGUGAGUAACGCGUGGGAACGUGCCCUUUGGUACGGAACAACUGAGGGAAACUUCAGCUAAUACCGUAUGUGCCCUUCGGGGAAGGAUUUAUCGCCAUUGGAGCGGCCCGCGUUGGAUUAGGUAGUUGGUGAGGUAAAGGCUCACCAAGCCUACGAUCCAUAGCUGGUCUGAGAGGAUGAUCAGCCACACUGGGACUGAGACACGGCCCAGACUCCUACGGGAGGCAGCAGUAGGGAAUCUUGCGCAAUGGGCGAAAGCCUGACGCAGCCAUGCCGCGUGAAUGAUGAA